ACGGGCUCCCCCCACCCCCCAGCAAAACUUAACGGUUCCUCUUCUUCCCUGCUGAGAGCAAGACGUGGACAGGCGCCGCGUAGAUCCGGGGAGGCUCCAAAGUUGGAACCAGUAGCAGGGCUGCGCCACUGCCCUCCUCCCUCCCGUCCCGCGGUCGGAAGAGCAUCCCUUCGCCGGCCCCUUUUCGGCUUCGGGUGCUGUAAAGGGCGGGCAGGCAGCUGCGGGGAGAGCUGAGGGCAGGCCUCAGCUCGUCCUGGGAUGGGUGACGAGUUCGGGAUUAGUUUGGGAUUGUGUGGGGAUCCUUCAUAACAUCGCCCUGCCCAUCCCUCGGUGCUUUGAAGUCUUGGGGUGGGGCGAGUCUUCAGAGGUGGGGAUGGAUAGGAAACGCCCAUGGGCUGCAGCCUUCUAUCUUUGGAGUCUUCUCUCGUCUCCUCCUCGGCCUCUGGCCUUGCGCUUCUUACAAGCCAGUCCUAAUGACACUAACUUCCCUGGCCUCGCAGUAACUUUAGUCUUUUCCCAGACUUCUACUCCACCCCAGUCCUCAACAUAUUUGAAGUAGGGAUCCCCUCACGGAAUGUUAGGUGAGGCCCAUACUUUUUUUUUUUUUUUUUUUUUAACAGAUAGGGACCCACUUCUUGGGAACAGUCAAUUUAAGAUGAGAACCUUGGUUUCCGCAGCAUCGCUGUUUGCAGGAAAGCAGUGGGUGUUCCAGGGAGCCUGGUCCAGAGCUAUUUCUACCUAAAGACACUGGAAACCCAGUGGGUGUGUCAGUGUACUGUCUCCCCUUCUUGGAAAGUGGUGAUGUUCAUUAGCAUAGCGAGGACGCUAAGAUCCUGGGUGCGGAAGUCCAAGCACAGUAAUUUAGUUCACUGUGUUAAUGCUUCUGGGCCCUGAUCAGUGUUUCCCACCUCAAGGUUCCAGGCAUCUCUUUGCUGUCCCAAUUCCUGUUUGUUCCUGCAGUCUGGUCUGUCUAAGAUUUUGGAAACUUCUUUGCAAGGGAAUUUUUCUAACAGGGAGACCCAGCCCGGUGAGGAAGGAACUUGCUGCCUCUUGCCAGCCAGAGACCUGGGAACUGGUGAAGUCAAGCAUUUCUUUACACUGUUGGAGAAAUGAAGCCAAGGUUAUCCAGAUGGCUUCCCAGUUGAAAGGCUUGUCACCUGUGAGAGAUCCUGGCACUGACUGUGAGCCACUGGCAGGGUGUACCCUGCUCACCACAGAGAAGACAAAUCUCUGGAGCCAGGGUGAACAGCCAGUCUGCCUCCAAGGCUUCCGUGUUGCUGAGGCCAUGGAGAUUUCCAGAGCUGGUCAAGCUGGCCUCUCCCAGGGCCCACUGUCCUGGCUGGCAAUACCGUUCUGGCCUGGGCCAGCAGAAAGUUUCAGUGACUUUACUGGCAGUUGGGGCAAGUGGGAGAGGCAAUGACCUCUGCCUAGCGGCCUCCUUCUACACUGUUCAAUGGAAGAUUAAUUUAGCUUCAACCCAAGAGAAUUCCUGAUUCCUUUGAUGCUGUGAUUUGGGCACAAGAUUCCAGACACCUAGAAUGGAGCCUUGUACUCCUGUACGCUUAACAGUGGGGUUUAUAGUCAGCCUUUUUUCUUUUGCUUUUUUAAGGUCACCAUCUAAAUUGCAUCCUUAGCUCAAGACCAACCCGCCCCCCUCAGAUCUCUUUCUUGGUCCCACAGCCCCAGGUCUGUGGCCAGGUGACCUUACUCAGGAGCAGAUAUAUUGAUACUCAUGGUGCCUUAAUCCACCAGACUGGCCUAUAGCAUUCCGGAGCUCACUGGCUCUUCCAGAUGUGCCUUCCUGCUUGGUUUCCAGCGGCUUGGCGGUCCCUCUGCCAGAUGUGAGAAGGAUGGAUAAGAUUGUGGCCAUACCAGCCCUCCCUCUCAAGGGCCUGUGCCAUAGCUAUGGCCACCUGGUUCAGCCCAGAACUUUUGGCUCCUUCCUUGACACCAGGAGUCAGGUCACCCCAAGGUCCUGGCCCAAAUGUUGGAGACCAUUUGUGUAUCCAGGAGACAGCUCUGACCGUGUUCUGUAAAGGUCGAGCGAGCCUCCUUGGGAGGAGUGUGGGUAGCAAGGGAGAGAGGACUGAUGCACCUUAUUCAGUAGUUCCAUAGUGAGUGGUUCCAUUAUGCUUUUCUGAAUAAAAUGUGUUUUGUCUGA